rnacentral:tRNA from 1 species
GGGCCGGUAGCUCAGAGGAUUAGAGCACGUGGCUACGAACCACGGUGUCGGGGGUUCGAAUCCCUCUUGGCCCA